rnacentral:rRNA from 1 species
AGCGAAUAGAUACCCUGGUAGUCCACGCCCUAAACGAUGUCGACUGGUUGUUGGGGGUUUGACACUCUCAGUAAACGAAAGCUAAACGCGUGAAGUCGACCGCCUGGGGAGUACGGCCGCAAGGUUAAAACUCAAAGGAAUUGACGGGGACCCGCACAAGCGGUGGAUUAUGUGGAUUAAUUCGAUGCAACGCGAAAACCUUACCUACCCUUGACAUGUCCUGAAUCCUGGAGAGAUCCGGGGGUGCCCGAAAGGGAACGGGAACACAGGUGCUGCAUGGCUGUCGUCAGCUCGUGUCGUGAGAUGUUGGGUUAAGUCCCGCAACGAGCGCAACCCUUGUCAUUAGUUGCUACCGCAAGGAGCACUCUAAUGAGACUGCCGGUGACAAACCGGAGGAAGAUGGGGAUGACGUCAAGUCCUCAUGGCCCUUAUGGGUAGGGCUUCACACGUAAUACAAUGGUCGGUACAGAGGGUUGCCAAGCCGCGAGGCGGAGCCAAUCCCAGAAAGCCGAUCGUAGUCCGGAUCGCAGUCUGCAACUCGACUGC